UGAGCUCUCCCAGCCCAGGCAGGGUCCCUGUGAGCUCACACAGCCCAGGCAGGGUCCCUGUGAGCUCUCCCAGCCCAGGCAGGGUCCCUUUUAGCUGCCUCCAUGGAGGAGAUUAUUUGUCAUCAAGAGCAAUGAAAUUAUUGGGAUGGGGGACCUGUUCUCUUGCUGAGAGGUUUGCCCAGGGCUGUGCACAGAAGGGUUGCUGCAAAUAAAUAUUGGUUAUUAUUGCUAGGGGUCCUACAGCUUAAAAUGAUGCUGAGGACACGUCCCAGCCCCACCUGCAUGACCCCCACAGGAGCAGGAGGCAUUUCCCCCUCAGGCAUGGGAAGCAGAUGGAUCCCAGGAAUCCAAGGGUGGGAUUGGUAACCAGAGGGAAAAACCUCCCACUGGCUUUUGGGCUCCAUGUGUUACAGCUCCAGCAGGGUGACAGCCUCUGACAACACAUCCUGUGCCUCAGAUCACAUCACUUGUGCCAAAAGGAUGAGUUUGUUUUUGCAAAGUCAUUGCAGCUACCUCAGGAAGGAGCUUGAAGUGCUAGACAAAUAAAUAAAUAAACAAACAAAUGUAUA